rnacentral:rRNA from 1 species
GAGAUUUCCGAAUGGGGGAACCCAACAUCUUUAAUAGGAUGUUACGAUUGUGUGAAUACAUAGCACAUUCGAGGUAGACGCAGAGAACUGAAACAUCUAAGUACCUGCAGGAAGAGAAAGAAAAUUCGAUUCCCUGAGUAGCGGCGAGCGAAACGGGAAAAGCCCAAACCAGCAAGCUUGCUUGUUGGGGUUGUAGGACUCCAAUAUGGUAGUUCUUUCAGAUAGUCGAAUGACUUGGAAAAGUCAGUCAAAGAGGGUAAAAACCCCGUAGACGAAAUGUGGAAGACACCUAGGAGGAUCCUGAGUACGGCGGAACACGAGAAAUUCCGUCGGAAUCCGGGAGGACCAUCUCCCAAGGCUAAAUACUCCCUAGUGACCGAUAGUGAACCAGUACCGUGAGGGAAAGGUGAAAAGCACCCCGGAAGGGGAGUGAAAUAGAACCUGAAACCGUGUGCCUACAACAAGUCAAAGCCCGUUAAUGGGUGAUGGCGUGCCUUUUGUAGAAUGAACCGGCGAGUUACGAUUGCAUGCGAGGUUAAGUUGAAGAGACGGAGCCGCAGCGAAAGCGAGUCUGAAUAGGGCGUUUGAGUAUGUAGUCGUAGACCCGAAACCAUGUGAUCUACCCAUGUCCAGGUUGAAGGUGCGGUAAAACGCACUGGAGGACCGAACCCACGUACGUUGAAAAGUGCGGGGAUGAGGUGUGGGUAGCGGAGAAAUUCCAAACGAACUUGGAGAUAGCUGGUUCUCUCCGAAAUAGCUUUAGGGCUAGCCUCGGAAUU